GACGAACGCUGGCGGCGUGCUUAACACAUGCAAGUCGAACGAUGAAGCCGGAGCUUGCUCUGGUGAAUUAGUGGCGAACGGGUGAGUAACACGUGAGUAACCUGCCCUUGACUCUGGGAUAACUGCGGGAAACUGUAGCUAAUACCGGAUACGACCCUCGGAGGCAUCUCCUGGGGGUGGAAAGAAUUUCGGUCAAGGAUGGACUCGCGGCCUAUCAGCUAGUUGGUGAGGUAAAGGCUCACCAAGGCGACGACGGGUAGCCGGCCUGAGAGGGUGACCGGCCACACUGGGACUGGGACGCGGCCCAGACUCCUACGGGAGGCAGCAGUGGGGAAUAUUGCACAAUGGGCGCAAGCCUGAUGCAGCAACGCCGCGUGAGGGAUGACGGCCUUCGGGUUGUAAACCUCUUUUAGUAGGGAAGAAGCGAAAGUGACGGUACCUGCAGAAAAAGCACCGGCUAACUACGUGCCAGCCGCCGCGGUAA
rnacentral:rRNA from 1 species